CGAACCCGGAGCUAGCUGGUUCUCCCCGAAAUGUGUUGAGGCACAGCGGUCGAGAUGAAGUUUAGGGGUAAAGCACUGUUUCGGUGCGGGCUGCGAGAGCGGUACCAAAUCGAGGCAAACUCUGAAUACUAAACUGGUACUCGGCCAGUCAGACGGUGGGGGAUAAGCUUCAUCGUCAAGAGGGAAACAGCCCAGACCACCAGCUAAGGUCCCCAAAUGACUGCUAGGUGAUAAAGGAGGUGGGAGUGCAGUGACAACCAGGAGGUUUGCCUAGAAGCAGCCACCCUUAAAAGAGUGCGUAAUAGCUCCCUGGUCUAGCGCUCCUGCGCCGAAAAUGAACGGGGCUAAGCAGUCUACCGAAGCUGUGGAAUAAAUGAUUUUUAAUCAUGUA
rnacentral:rRNA from 1 species